CGAGAUUCCCCCAGUAGCGGCGAGCGAACGGGGAGCAGCCCAGAGCCUGAAUCAGUGUGUGUGUUAGUGGAAGCGUCUGGAAAGGCGCGCGAUACAGGGUGACAGCCCCGUACACAAAAAUGCACAUACUGUGAGCUCGAUGAGUAGGGCGGGACACGUGGUAUCCUGUCUGAAUAUGGGGGGACCAUCCUCCAAGGCUAAAUACUCCUGACUGACCGAUAGUGAACCAGUACCGUGAGGGAAAGGCGAAAAGAACCCCGGC
rnacentral:rRNA from 1 species